AUUGAACGCUGGCGGCAUGCUUUACACAUGCAAGUCGAACGGUAGAGGGGGCAACCCCUUGAGAGUGGCGAACGGGUGAGUAAUGCAUCGGAACGUGCCCAGUCGUGGGGGAUAACGCAGCGAAAGCUGUGCUAAUACCGCAUACGAUCUCUGGAUGAAAGCGGGGGACCGAAAGGCCUCGCGCGAUUGGAGCGGCCGAUGUCAGAUUAGGUAGUUGGUGGGGUAAAGGCUCACCAAGCCAACGAUCUGUAGCUGGUCUGAGAGGACGACCAGCCACACUGGGACUGAGACACGGCCCAGACUCCUACGGGAGGCAGCAGUGGGGAAUUUUGGACAAUGGGCGCAAGCCUGAUCCAGCAAUGCCGCGUGCAGGAAGAAGGCCUUCGGGUUGUAAACUGCUUUUGUACGGAACGAAACGGUCUGGGUUAAUACCCUGGGCUAAUGACGGUACCGUAAGAAUAAGCACCGGCUAACUACGUGCCAGCAGCCGCCGUAAAAC
rnacentral:rRNA from 1 species